rnacentral:rRNA from 1 species
UACGUAGGGUGCAAGCGUUGUCCGGAUUCAUUGGGCGUAAAGAGCUCGUAGGCGGCUUGGCAAGUCGGGUGUGAAAACUUCAGGCUCAACCUGGAGAUGCCACUCGAUACUGCUAUGGCUAGAGUCCGGUAGGGGACCACGGAAUUCCUGGUGUAGCGGUGAAAUGCGCAGAUAUCAGGAGGAACACCGGUGGCGAAGGCGGUGGUCUGGGCCGGCACUGACGCUGGAGGAGCGAAAGCGUGGGGAGCGAACAGG